GGGGAUUUAGCUCAGUGGUAGAGCGCUUGCCUAGCAAGCGCCAAGGCCCUGGGUUCGGUCCCCAGCUCUGGACCUGGGUCCUCUUGCAGAGGACCUGGGUUCAAAUCCCAGCACCUACA
rnacentral:tRNA from 1 species